AUGCUAGUUCGUUCAUCUUCUAUGGCGCGCAUCGGCCACUAAGUACGCCCACGGUGUGGGUCUUCAGCGCUGCAACCAACAAGGAGUUCUUGUCGUUUGUGACGUCAAUGCCUUCAAAGAAGGCCUCCAGUCGAACUUGCAUUCUGGGCGCUACACAGCGGAGAAGCCAAGAGGGCAAAGCCCCGGCUAAAAGUUGAAUGACAUGGCAGCGAAAGAGCUUGUCGUGGCACCUUGUGGUGGCCACAGUGGACUGUGCUACGCCGCAAGCCACUGCUAUCUCGGAGGCCACAUGCAGCUGACGCACCUAUGCACAUUGCAACAAUAAAAUGACUUUUCUGUCUUUUUGA